AACGAACGCUGGCGGCAUGCCUAACACAUGCAAGUCGAACGAGAUCUUCGGGUCUAGUGGCGCACGGGUGCGUAACGCGUGGGAAUCUGCCCUUUGGUUCGGAAUAACAGUUGGAAACGACUGCUAAUACCGGAUGAUGACGAAAGUCCAAAGAUUUAUCGCCAGAGGAUGAGCCCGCGUAGGAUUAGCUAGUUGGUGUGGUAAAGGCGCACCAAGGCGACGAUCCUUAGCUGGUCUGAGAGGAUGAUCAGCCACACUGGGACUGAGACACGGCCCAGACUCCUACGGGAGGCAGCAGUGGGGAAUAUUGGACAAUGGGCGAAAGCCUGAUCCAGCAAUGCCGCGUGAGUGAUGAAGGCCUUAGGGUUGUAAAGCUCUUUUACCCGGGAUGAUAAUGACAGUACCGGGAGAAUAAGCUCCGGCUAACUCCGUGCCAGCCGCCGCCGUAA
rnacentral:rRNA from 1 species